rnacentral:rRNA from 1 species
CCUACGGGGUGCAGCAGUAGGGAAUCUUCCACAAUGGGCGAAAGCCUGAUGGAGCACCGCCGCGUGGGUGAAGAAGGUCUUCGGAUCGUAAAACCCUGUUGUUAGAGAAGAAAGUGCGUGAGAGUAACUGUUCACGUUUCGACGGUAUCUAACCAGAAAGCCACGGCUAACUACGUGACAGCAGCCGCGGUAAUACGUAGGUGGCAAGCGUUAUCCGGAUUUAUUGGGCGUAAAGGGAACGCAGGCGGUCUGUUAAGUCUGAUGUGAAAGCCUUCGGCUUAACCGGAGUAGUGCAUUGGAAACUGGGAGACUUGAGUGCAGAAGAGGAGAGUGGAACUCCAUGUGUAGCGGUGAAAUGCGUAGAUAUAUGGAAGAACACCAGUGGCGAAGGCGGCUCUCUGGUCUGUAACUGACGCUGAGGUUCGAAAGCGUGGGUAGCAAACAGGAUUAGAUACCCGAGUAGUC